rnacentral:lncRNA from 1 species
UGGUGGCGUUGCAGAGGCGUGAAUGAAAAAGUUAGUCUGGGAUACAAUUAUAAUUGUGAGUCCCUCAAUUAUAGAGCGGAUCCAGGUGAAAGAUGUAGGUGGUGUGUGGAUUGAACUCUAGACCGGGAACCUGCAGUACUAGAUGGACGAUAACUAUGCUUACAAUUGUUGAUCGAGAACUGUGAGGUAUGUGCCUGUCCCUCUUCCACCCAUAUCAACAUGUAAUUUUGUAAGAAGCUAAUUUAGUAUAGCAAGAACAUCAUGUUUUAGACACAGACUGCAGAUCGAUGUACUUUGUCCGUAUUUCCUUCACCAAAGCAUGCGUUGUGAGAUCAUGAUUACUACCAGGUACAACAUUGCAAUUUAUUUUCCAGAAUGUUCCUUGAACACACUCCCAAGUUCCCAACCAUCAGCAAUUAUAGUCUCCUCAAUUCGGAUGCAUAGGAAUGCAACUUUUAUCCGAAUGUGCAACAAAAGCAUGUUGUUUGUAUCUGUUGACCAUUGAAAUCCCAAGACCAAUGCAUGGAGAAGUAGCCUGUGAACCCUAAGUUAUUUAUUGAGAAAUUAAACCACAUAUUUGACUACUUAUUGAUCUCCGAUCUCUAUAAAUUAUCCUUAAUCUGUUUUUUGUGAAGACAGCGGAUGAGAAAGAAACAGUAUCCAGGACCGUGUACUAUACUAACAUUGUAAUUAUGGGUCCAUGCCACCUAUUUCUAUUUUGAAGCUGUUCUUUUAGGAACAGAUGAUUACACAUGAAGUAAUGUUUUCCAUGACUAUGUACUAUACUAACAUUAGAAAUUAUGCGUCCAUGCUAGGUAUUUAUAUUUUGAAGCAAUUCCGUCAGGAACAGAUGAUCACACAAUAACUUUUGAUAAAUCCUUUUUACCUAGCUUCUGAUUUCUAUUAUCAGAAACAGAUUGUCUGUUCUUACAGGAAACAUCUACAAACAGCCGUUAUUCGUUAUUGUGCUCUUCC